AGCUUUGCGCAGUGGCAGUAUCGUAGCCAAUGAGGUUUAUCCGAGGCGCGAUUAUUGCUAAUUGAAAACUUAGAAAUUAAAUUAAGGGACUUCCCUGGUGGCGCAGUUAUUAAGAAUAUACCUGCCAAUGCAG
rnacentral:snRNA from 1 species